UUGCAGGGUAUAGACCCGAAACCCGGUGAUCUAGCCAUGGGCAGGUUGAAGGUUGGGUAACACUAACUGGAGGACCGAACCGACUAAUGUUGAAAAAUUAGCGGAUGACCUGUGGCUGGGGGUGAAAGGCCAAUCAAACCGGGAGAUAGCUGGUUCUCCCCGAAAGCUAUUUAGGUAGCGCCUCGUGAAUUCAUCUCCGGGGGUAGAGCACUGUUUCGGCUAGGGGGCCAUCCCGGCUUACCAACCCGAUGCAAACUGCGAAUACCGGAGAAUGUUAUCACGGGAGACACACGGCGGGUGCUAACGUCCGUCGUGAAGAGGGAAACAACCCAGACCGCCAGCUAAGGUCCCAAAGUCAUGGUUAAGUGGGAAACGAUGUGGGAAGGCCCAGACAGCCAGGAUGUUGGCUUAGAAGCAGCCAUCAUUUAAAGAAAGCGUAAUAGCUCACUGGUCGAGUCGGCCUGCGCGGAAGAUGUAACGGGGCUAAACCAU
rnacentral:rRNA from 2 species